rnacentral:rRNA from 1 species
UACAGAGGUCCCAAGCGUUGUUCGGAUUCAUUGGGCGUAAAGGGUGCGUAGGCGGCGGGGUAAGUCUGAUGUGAAAUCCUGGGGCUCAACCCUGGAACUGCAUUGGAUACUGCCUUGCUAGAGAACUGGAGAGGAGACUGGAAUUUACGGUGUAGCAGUGAAAUGCGUAGAGAUCGUAAGGAAGACCAGUGGCGAAGGCGAGUCUCUGGACAGUUACUGACGCUGAGGCACGAAGGCCAGGGGAGCAAACGGG